rnacentral:lncRNA from 1 species
AUGAUGUUUGAAAUCCAUUGGCUUGGAGCUCACUGAGAAACCUACCUUGAAGAUGCUUUGAAAUCAUAUUUACAAGGUUGCUUCAAGCCAAGGAACGUGGGCUAAAGAUAGCACUCAUAAUGCUGUUGUUAAACAGCAUCCUUUUUGCUAGGAUAAAUAAAUUCUUUCUUGAUUAUAAAUCUAAGAAUGGAUGGGAUGGAGAUCAUUUUCGCAGUUUGUUUCUUUUCCACAUGGCAGAAUUUUCUCCAAAAUGCUCAACUGUUAUUUCAGGCACUGGGUGUCUGGGAAACCAUACGGCUGUGAGCAUUUGCGACGGAAGGUUAUCUCUGUCUGAAAUUGGAUCUAUAUACAUUAUGUCAGCCUCCACCAGUUGUCCAGUGAUGAAUGCAGUGCCUACCUCAGCCAGCUUGGCGUUCCAGGG